rnacentral:misc_RNA from 1 species
AGCAGCCGCGGUAAUUCCAGCUCCAAUAGCGUAUAUUAAAGUUGUUGCAGUUAAAAGCUCGUAGUUGAAUUUCGGGAUUGGCGCAUCGGUCGUGCCUCACGGGGUAUGAACUGGUGCAGUCAAUUUCUCACCUUCUGGAGAACCGCGAUGUCCUUAAUUGGAUGCCGCGGGGAACCAGGACCUUUACUUUGAAAAAUUAGAGUGUUUAAAGCAGGCAUUUUUGCUUGAAUACAUUAGCAUGGAAUAAUAAAAUAGGACGGCAUGGUUCUAUUUUGUUGGUUUCUAGGACCACCGUAAUGAUUAAUAGGGAUAGUUGGGGGCACUAGUAUUCAAUUGUCAGAGGUGAAAUUCUUGGAUUUAUUGAAGACUAACUACUGCGAAAGCAUUUGCCAAGGAUGUUUUCAUUAAUCAAGAACGAAAGUUAGGGAUCGAAGACGAUCAGAUACCGUCGUAGUCUUAACCAUAAACUAUGCCGACUAGGAAUCAGACGAUGUUAAUUUUUAAUGUACUU